CAGCAAAGGACCUAGGGGUUACAGUGGACAAGACAUGCCUGUGAAAUGCAAACAGUGCAACAAAGAAAUGCAAGGCCCAGUUGCCCAGAGGAAACAACAUCCUGAUAAGUGUUCCUUCUCAGGAGGAAGCUCCUCUGAAGAUGAUGAAAGAAACAUGCAGGAUUUUCAGGAGACUCCAUCCUCAACAUAUAGGAUUCUAAAGACUAUCCACCUUUAAGAUCACCAUCACUUUCUAUAGUUUUAGUUAUCUGCCAAUGAUGUUUGUCACAUCAUGUAUGUCAUAUAGCCACAGUAUAUCACCUGUAGCAAAA